CAGUAGGAUCUUCCACAAUGGGCGAAAGCCUGAUGGAGCAACGCCGCGUGUGUGAUGAAGGGUUUCGGCUCGUAAAACACUGUUGUAAGAGAAGAAUGACAUUGAGAGUAACUGUUCAAUGUGUGACGGUAUCUUACCAGAAAGGAACGGCUAAAUACGUGCCAG
rnacentral:rRNA from 1 species